rnacentral:rRNA from 1 species
GACAGAGGUGCCAAGCGUUAGGCGGAAUCACUGGGCUUAAAGCGUGUGUAGGUGGAUCGUUAAGUGCCUUGUGAAAUCCCACGGCUCAACCGUGGAACUGCUUGGCAUACUGGCGGUCUUGAGCCAUUCAGGGGCUACUGGAACAAACGGUGGAGCGGUGAAAUGCGUAGAUAUCGUUUGGAACGCCAAAGGUGAAAACAGGUAGCUGGGGAUGUGCUGACACUGAGACACGAAAGCCAGGGGAGCCAACGGG